rnacentral:rRNA from 1 species
AUUGAACGCUGGCGGCAGGCCUAACACAUGCAAGUCGAACGAGUGGCGGACGGGUGAGUAAUGUCGGGGAAACUGCCUGAUGUAGGGGGAUAACUGCUGGAAACGGUAGCUAAUACCGCAUACCAUCGGAUGUGCCCAGAUGGGAUGAGCUAGUAGGUGGGGUAACGGCUCACCUAGGCGACGAUCCCUAGCUGGUCUGAGAGGAUGACCGGCCACACUGGAACUGAGACACGGUCCAGACUCCUACGGGAGGCAGCAGUGGGGAAUAUUGGGCAAUGGGCGAAAGCCUGAUGCAGCAAUGCCGCGUGUAUGAAGAAGGUUUUCGGGUUGUAAAGUACUGUUGGUGGGGAGGCGGUACCUGAAGAAGAAGCCCCGGCUAACUCCGUGCCAGCAGCCGCGGUAAUAC